rnacentral:lncRNA from 10 species
ACAGACCAGCCUGUAGUUAUCUGUGUGCACAGUUUACAGCUACAAAAACCUACUUUGGUAUUCAUUACAGAAAAGUGCUGAGUUAAUUGAACCAAGGACUGCCAGAAAAUAUUAGCCUCUACAUUAUGCAUGCAUUUAGAAGCUUACCUGAAAUCUACCUUUUAUAAAGGAAUAGUAUGGAUUCUGAAAACAGGCCCCACCAGCAAGAAGACACCGGACACAACCCCUUCACCUUGGCCUUCUCAACCUUUGAAACCUAAAUCCUUUCUCCCUGCGGCUGAAGAAAAAAGUGUGCAGCUGCCUGAUAACCUAAUAAUAAAGGAUAUCAGAGUCCUCUCUCCCCAAUGAACAAACAAAAACAUAUUUACACAUUCCAAAAUCAAUACAAAAGAAGUAAUUUUGCUAAAGUCUAACAAAAUACAUUUCAUUAUAACUAUAUAUACACCUAAAAUACACAUUUGACCUAAACUUUGCUACUCUGAGGUCUAGCCAUGGGUAUGCAAGUCUAGAAUUUAGAUUGUUUUUGUUCGUUUGGGCCUUAUUUAUAUAAAUGAAUACGUUCAUCCUGGAAACAACCUAUUUCGAUAGAAAACAGAUGGAUACUGACAUUUUGACAAAGGUUAAUGUAAUGGCAUUGCAGAAGAGGUUUAUGUUUUUGUUUUUAAAAUAUAAUGUCUAUUCUUUUUGCCUUUUAGUUUUUGUCCUAAGUGGAUUCAUGCCUCAGUCAUAGUAAAAAUUUAAGUUAAAAAGUUUAAAACUUUUUUUAGCAUGAAAAAAAACAACUUAAAACAAUGUUUCAACAAAAAUUGCAAGUUUCAGGGUACAAUUGACAAGCACUCUUGUAAGGGGACUUUGGUGGAAUGGGGGACACUCACCAUGUCAGUAUUUUUCGGGCUUCUGAAGAAAGUGCCUCAGCACAGACAUUAUCCUAGUAGUCCAGUUAUCUGGGAUGCUGGCAUAGAAAGUGGCUCUGGCAGCAUCACAGCAGAGGCAAUGCCUUUGGCAAGAAUCAGCAUUUUAGAUGUUACUUCAGCACAAAUAAAAAACUAGAAGCGACAAUACAAUCCAGAGUUGCCAUAUACAGGCCAAGAAAACUUAUGACUCUGAUGGCAUGCAUGUAGAGCAUAGAACUAAGCUAUGAGCAAACAAAGGUAUAAGAAUGAUACAAUGGACUUUGGGGACUUGUGGGGAAGGGCGGUAGGGAGGCGAAGGAUAAAAGACUACCAAUAUGGUGCAGUGUAUACUCCUUGGGUGAUGGGUGCAACAAAACCUCACAAAUCACCACUAAAGAAAUUACUUGUGUAACCAAAUACCACCUGUACCCCAAUAACUUGUGGAAAAAUUUUUAAAAAGUAAGAAAAUAAAAAUAAAAAAAGAAAUUAGCUGGGCGUGGUGGUGCACACCUGUGGUACCAGCUACUCGGGAGGCUGAGGCAGGGGAAUUGCUUGAACCUGGGAGGCAGAGAUUGCAGUAAGCCAAUAUCUCACCACUGCACUCAAGCCUGGUGACAGAGCGAGACUCCAUCUCAAUAAAUAAAUAAAGUAAACAAAAAUAAAAACAGCUUCUGGAAUGUCUUCAAAUUAUUUCAAAUGGUUGUAAUUGGAGCUGAAGUGACACUAAAGCCUAUUUGAGUCAAACCAGCAGAAUCUGUUUUUGUGCCUGAUGUUCAGAGCUGUUUUAGCUAUAUUAUAGACUGAUGGCUUUCAUUUUUCACUUCAAAUUUCCCUGUAUAGUCCACUAUAUUUUCUCAAGAGCUUAAUAAGGACAAAAGCUAAAAUGGAAGCUUAUUGCUGUCAAUGAUUACCUGCCUGUUAAUGUGUGUGUAGGUAUAUAUAAUGCUAACAGUGCGAUUUUUUCUUAACUACUAUUUAAAGAUGUGUCAAUGGUAAUUCAUUUCACAGAGAGUAACACGAGCCUAAAAAUAGAAUAGGAAGUACCAAAUUAUUCUUAAAGGAAAAACUUUCGUUUGCUGUUUUGAGGUGG